ensembl:misc_RNA Metazoa_SRP Metazoan signal recognition particle RNA
GCCAGGUGUGGUGGCGCAUGCCUGUAGUCCCAGCUACUCAGGAGGCUGAGGCAGGAGGAUCACUUGAGGCCAGGAGUUCUGGGCUGCAGUGCACUAUGUUGCCUGGGCGUCUGCACUAAGUUCAGCAUCAAUAUGAUGACCUCCCGGGAGCAGGGGACCACCAGAUUGCCUAAGAAGGGUAAACUGGCCAAGAUUGGAAACAGAGCAGGUCAAAACUCCCAUGCUGAUCAGUAGUGGGAUGGUGCCUGUGAAUAGCCACUGUACUCCAGCCUGGGCAACACAGCAAGACCCCAUCUCUA